UACAGAGGAGCCAAGCGUUGUCCGGAUUGACUGGGCGUAAAGCGCACGCAGGCGGUUGCGCGCGUGGGGUGUGAAAUCUGGCCGCUUAACGGCCAGGCGCCAUCCCAUACGGCGCGACUGGAGUGAUGCAGAGGUCGAUGGAAUUGCAGGUGUAGCGGUGAAAUGCGUAGAUAUCUGCAGGAACACCCGUGGCUAAAGCGGCGCGCUGGACCACUACUGACGCUGAGGAACGAAAGCUAGGGGAGCAAACAGG
rnacentral:rRNA from 1 species